GAAACCCCCCAAAACCGCCACUUCACAAGUCGGCGGGUCAAAUGAUCAAAAUUCCAUUCAUUUCCUGUCCUAACAUUUCUUCAUUUGUUUUCUUCAAAAAGCCACACACAAAAUCUGAGGAAAAAUAAAUCCAAAAAGUGGUUGAUCAUCGAGUAUAAAUGAAUGCCCACACUUGAAAACCGUCGUCUUUGAUGAAAGUUGACGGCCAUGGACGACGACGCCACCAGAGCCAACAUCCACCGCCACAAAACCCGCAAGCGCCGCCUGAGCGCGGCUGAGGAGCGGAGCAAACGCAGCGACGAUGAAUUGGAUCAGGAGGUCGACGUGGAGGUCUGGGAGGCGCUGAGCAAGAGCUUUAUGCAGGUCCAGUCCGUACUGGAUCAGAACCGCGCCUUGAUCCAGCAGGCCAACGACAACCACCAGUCCAGAGCCCCCGACAACCUCACCAGAAACGUUUCCUUAAUCCGCGAGAUCAACUCCAAUAUCUCCAAAGUCAUCUCGAUUUACUCCGAUUUGUCGGCCAAUUUCUCCGGCAUUGUCCACCAGCACCGCGCCGCCAUAACCCCCGCCAAGAACGACAACGACAGCGGCGAGACAGGGGAUCGGAAAUUGGAUCCGGUGAAGUCGGGCGUUGAAUCGCAGUGAUUUCGAUGACGUUGAUGAAGGCUGCGGGAUUGCUUGUCUUCGACCCGCAGAUAUUACAAGGGAAUUAGGGACAAAUCGGUGAUUCUCAGUGUUGGGCAGAUGUAGAUAGUAAAGUAGGUUAUGACUGGUAACUAGCAGCGAUUCGUUAACAAGUACAUGGGAAUACAGGCGUAAGAUGCGGUGUUCAUGCGUCUUAAAUUGGGAUUGCUUUGGAUUAGAUGGACUCAACAACAAUGCAGGUCAUGAUGAUGACAGGAUUGUUCCACAUUGUUUGAUUAACAAUCAGACAGUGGUCAGAUCAGGAUGAGUUGAUUUAAGAAAGGCCACGGAAGGUAAUUUGAAACUUCAAUUCCAAGCAACCUCAAAGGACAUUAGCAACGGCAUGGUGCAAUGACAAUGUGCUUGGAUGUCUGAAUGCUGCAGGAACACAUGUGCCUUGGUGCAACGACAUGGAUUGUCUCAAGCGACGUGUUGGUCCUGUUAAUGAGACGUCUUUGAAUGUUGUAGGGAAUAUAAUGAUUUCAUUUUGCUCUUCAUAAUUAUGCAAUCUCUUAUUUGUCCUUUGGAUUCUACAUUUACGUGAUUAAGCUUUUCCGAUCAAACAUUGUGGUCGAUCUUUUAUUGGCUCUGGCGGAAUGUUUACCGCCAUGGAUUCUUU